rnacentral:rRNA from 1 species
ACGUAGGUGGCAAGCGUUGUCCGGAAUUACUGGGUGUAAAGGGAGCGCAGGCGGACCGGCAAGUUGGAAGUGAAAUCUAUGGGCUCAACCCAUAAAUUGCUUUCAAAACUGCUGGCCUUGAGUAGUGCAGAGGUAGGCGGAAUUCCCGGUGUAGCGGUGGAAUGCGUAGAUAUCGGGAGGAACACCAGUGGCGAAGGCGGCCUGCUGGGCACCAACUGACGCUGAGGCUCGAAAGCAUGGGUAGCAAACAG